rnacentral:lncRNA from 1 species
CACAGUGGUAACUACGACAGCAAAUCGAGGGCUAUGCUAUAUUUUAUACAGAAGGUGUUGAGUGCAUUUUUGUGGUUGUUGACCACAAUUGGAUAAGUUAAAUCUCAUCCUUGUACAUAUUUGUUAACAUGUCAAUGUUUUUCACCAUUAACAGCAUUGUUACUAUUCAUACUAGCAUAAAAGCUUUACUGUUCAUAUUAGCACAAAGGAGCAUUAUUAGGUCAUAUGGACAGAAAGUAUUUAAGGUUGCGAAUGGGAAGAAGUGCAUCUUCAUUGCUUACUUGAAUACAAUAAAUGCUUCCAUCAAACAAAGCUCAUCCUUUUGCUUGAGGAUGUUUUUAUGCUUCUGCCAGUCCAUUUAAUGAACCUAAAUUCAUUUUGCCGAUGGUCAAGUGGUAAAAAUUAUUUCUUCCAAUACUUUGAGAUUUGAAAUGUUUAUUACCUUAUAAGAUUCAUUUCGUGUGUAUGCAUCUCGUACUCUAUAUGAUAAUGUGAAUGUUGACUUGAGCACUGUGACUGAUAUAUCUGGUAGGUAGCCAAAGCCUACCUAAUUGGAUAUGGGCAGUUAAACAUGUAAAUGCUCAUUAUGUUUAAAUGAUAAGCUAAUAGAGAUUGGACUAAAACUUUCAAAUAGCGAAUUGGAUUAAACUUGUCUUUUAUGCUGGCUGGAUGCUGAGUUUUUGUUUGCUAGCAUGCAUUGUCAAAUAACCUGAAUUUGUAAGAUAGGAUCUGACUAAACAACUAUGCUUUGGACAAAUUUGUGGAUGUAUAUCAAUUUUUGAGUUGAUAAUAGUGCUGGAAGUGCUAAUGCAAUUCUCCACUAAUUAGGAGAUAGGUCAUGUCUAAAUCUAUGGAAACAUCUACAGUUAACUAUACCAGGGUCUAGGGAAGGCCACAAUUAACACAAAAUGAUGUAUGCAUUAUACAUAUAAGUGAUCUGUUAGAAUUUAAAUCCACAUGGACCAUAUCUAGAUGUCGUCUAUGUGUUAUAGCUAUGUCCCUAGAUUUUCUUAUGCAUGGUAUGCUUUCAAGAUAUUGAUGUCUAUUGGGAUAGAAGCAGCAACAGUAUGUAAGAAGCUUUUGGAUUCUUAUGCAUUUUGUUGGGACAAGUCUGAGAUG